AUGGCGUCCCACGGGAGGAAGCCAGGCAGCGGCGGCGCUGGCCGCAGCGGCCGAGAAGCGGGAGAAGCCGGCCGGCGGCCAGGAUGGGAGAGUGGAGGGGCCGCAUCGAGCACUGCAGGAACUGACGCGUCUACCGGCGCGACGCCGCGGCUCUGAGCCAGGCACUGCGCCUGCAGGCCCCGGAGCUGGCGGUGAAGGUGAACGCCGCCAGGCCGCGGAGGGGCAGCUUCGAGGUGACGCUGCUGCGCGCCGACGGCAGCAGCGCGGAGCUCUGGACCGGUCUUCAGAAGAGGCCCCCACGCAAACUCAAGUUUCCGGAGCCUCACGUGGUGCUGGAGGAGCUGAAGAAGUACCUUUUGUAGGGAGGUGGGGCCGAAGGCGUCUCGCUGAGCCUCUGUCCCUGGUGAUGUUGGAGCAUUUAUGACGGGACAUGGCCAAACUUCAGUCAUGUCCCCGAAGCUGUGGUUUCCUUCCCUCCAGAAACGAUGAUUCAGUUGUGAGGCAAUCCUCUAGUAAGACAUUGAAAAGUUCUUGGAUUUGGUUUAAUAAAAAUUAAAGGAUUUGAGUU